rnacentral:sRNA from 1 species
AGACAACUAGACAAUGUUGUCUAGCACUAAACCUGUACUACUAGCCUACAGAUUUGUAUCACUUGUAGGUGUGUGUAUCACUUAAACUCAGCAAUGAUUCUUUAUGUUUUUGGACUUAAAGCUGUCUGUGAAAAAGUGUUCCAUCUGAAGAAGUUUAGCCCAUUUGUGACUGAAACUUCUUGUCAGGAUAUUAAGCUCAUCUGUAAUUGAGUAUUUUGUGAACUCUAAUUAUUGUGUUUUUUUAUUACUGUAACAUUGAAUUUUUCUCUGUGUAGUAAAUUAACUAAGAAAUCAUGGUGGGUCAGCCCUGUAUUGUGGGUAGAUAUGGUUGUCGUUGAUUCUGCCAGGGUUACAAAAUUUCAUACAUAAUAUUUUUUGGGGGGAAGGGGGGUGGGUGGGUUUCACAUCACAAAUCAAGAAACAUUUUGACUGGACAUAGCUAACCAAAGAUGUAUAUUAACAUUAUUUACUGCAAUCUUGAGAAGAUGACCAUGCCACACAUGGCUGUACAGAUCAUUGUUUAGUUGACCUUUGUUCUUUUUUCUGAACGCCUAUUCCUUUUCUAACAAAGCCACGUGAAUUCCAAGCUUGCAUUUUGGAUGCUAAAGUUUUGGGUUCUUGACCUUAACUCACGUUCACUUGUUUCAUACUACAUGUAUAUUUUGUAAAUUGUUAAAAUAGGUAUUUUUUUUUCACUCAAAGACUUUUAUUUUAAAGUAGGAUGUGUACAUGUAUAUAGAUUACCCACCAUAAGAUGCACUGCAUUUUGGGAUGGGGGGGGUGCAAGUUUGUGAAUUAACACCAUUGGGAUACACAAUAGUUCAUGUCUUCCUUUCAUGUACUUUUUAAUUUCAUUGAUUAAUAUAUUUUUGUUAAUUUAGAGAAUGUGACAGAUGUGAUUUGUGAUUUAGUUUCAUGAUGUUGAAUAAAUAUGAUCA